rfam:Colletotrichum gloeosporioides Cg-14 contig01075, whole genome shotgun sequence.
GGCGAAGUGUCCGAGUGGUUAAGGAGUUUGACUCGAAUGAAUAUUGGAAUCAAAUGGCUUCGGCCGCGCAAGUUCGAAUCUUGUCUUCGUCG